CGUGCCCCGCCGGCUCCGCGCCGGGCCCGCCCCGCCCCGCCCUCCGUGGGUGCCCGGCCCCCGGCACAGCGCGAAAUGUCCCUGGGCUGGGCCCCUUCCCCUGGGAGGGGCAGCCGAAGGCGUCGCCCCGCCCGUGAGUCGCCCACCGCCUCCCGGGGGCCCCAGGGGGCUCAGCGCCUGCCGCGCCCCCGGUGUCGGAUGUCUUCGCCCUUCGCGACACAAAAUAAAGCCGUAGCGAGGGGCGGGUCACGGCCGCAGACUAUUCACAGACCACAGGAAAACAGAGACUGAAGACUACCUGAAUCUCCUCCUCCAACAUUUCUUAUCUCUGAGCACAUCGGAAAAUUUCUUACUCCUGCCCUUUAAUUGUUCAAAAACAGUAUGUGGAUUUGGAUCCCAGGUCAUUUUCUCUUAUGCUUUCACCCAUAUAACACCGAAAGGUUAUUUGCCAGCAUACCUUAUCAACUUAACCCACUCCGGAGAAAGAAAGAGGUUUUGGUUUUUAAACAGAAUCUUGGUUCAGUGCUCUGGCUUAGGGAAGCAGAUGCAAAUUUUUAAAACCCCACAAAUUCCAAGCAGCAUAAUGUUACAGAUGGAUAAUGAGAUGACUGGCUCUCACUAUUAAAAGAUAACUAUUGUGUUUAGUGGUGUAUAGUUGGGUUAUUGUAGUUUAAAUGUCCUCUGUUCUCCCCGUAGUUCCCUUCCCCCCCCCCCGUAUUGUUGCUGUCAGACAGCCUGGCUUGUCUAGCACAGGUAAAAAGAAGGCUGCAUGUGUGCCCAUUGUACGGGGCAGUUGGGAAUGGAAAGCUUGUUGCUUAGGGGGUGCGGCGUGGCAACACCUGACCUCCAAUCAAGUUACAAGAAAGCAGUUUUCACCGAUAAAUGGCAAAGAAGAGCUGACUGACCGACUUUGGGAGGGGCCAGGGUUAGCUGAUGCAACCCCCCCAGGGGUAUAAAAGACUGAGCAUCCAUCUUGAAGAUGAACUGGCCACGUGGUGUGCAUGAGGGGCAGUUGCCGGCACUGCAGCUUUUUCCUUAUGUAGUCCUUGGUUUAUUAAACCUUAACAAAAAUACAACAUUUUUAAAUUUUCAAA